rnacentral:rRNA from 1 species
AGAGUUUGAUCAUGGCUCAGGACGAACGCUGGCGGCACGCUUAACACAUGCAAGUCGAACGAGAGAAGAGGAGCUUGCUUUUCUGAUCUAGUGGCGGACGGGUGAGUAACACGUGAGCAAUCUGCCUUUCAGAGGGGGAUACCGAUUGGAAACGAUCGUUAAUACCGCAUAACAUAAUUGAACCGCAUGAUUUGAUUAUCAAAGAUUUAUCGCUGAAAGAUGAGCUCGCGUCUGAUUAGCUAGUUGGUAAGGUAACGGCUUACCAAGGCGACGAUCAGUAGCCGGACUGAGAGGUUGAUCGGCCACAUUGGGACUGAGACACGGCCCAGACUCCUACGGGAGGCAGCAGUGGGGAAUAUUGCGCAAUGGAGGAAUCUCUGAUGCAGCGAUGCCGCGUGAGGGAAGAAGGUUUUAGGAUUGUAAACCUCUGUCUUCAGGGACGAAAAAAGACGGUACCUGAGGAGGAAGCUCCGGCUAACUACGUGCCAGCAGCCGCGAUAAUACGUAGGGAGCGAGCGUUGUCCGGAAUUACUGGGUGUAAAGGGAGCGUAGGCGGGAUCGCAAGUCAGAUGUGAAAACUAUGGGCUUAACCCAUAAACUGCAUUUGAAACUGUGGUUCUUGAGUGAAGUAGAGGUAAGCGGAAUUCCUAGUGUAGCGGUGAAAUGCGUAGAUAUUAGGAGGAACAUCAGUGGCGAAGGCGGCUUACUGGGCUUUAACUGACGCUGAGGCUCGAAAGCGUGGGGAGCAAACAGGAUUAGAUACCCUGGUAGUCCACGCCGUAAACGAUGAUUACUAGGUGUGGGGGGACUGACCCCUUCCGUGCCGCAGCAAACGCAAUAAGUAAUCCACCUGGGGAGUACGACCGCAAGGUUGAAACUCAAAGGAAUUGACGGGGGCCCGCACAAGCAGUGGAGUAUGUGGAUUAAUUCGAAGCAACGCGAAGAACCUUACCAGGUCUUGACAUCGUAUGCAUAGCUCAGAGAUGAGUGAAAUCUCUUCGGAGACAUAUAGACAGGUGGUGCAUGGUUGUCGUCAGCUCGUGUCGUGAGAUGUUGGGUUAAGUCCCGCAACGAGCGCAACCCUUACUGUUAGUUGCUACGCAAGAGCACUCUAGCAGGACUGCCGUUGACAAAACGGAGGAAGGUGGGGAUGACGUCAAAUCAUCAUGCCCCUUAUGACCUGGGCCUCACACGUACUACAAUGGCUGUCAACAGAGGGAAGCAAAGCCGCGAGGUGGAGCGAACCCCUAAAAGCAGUCUUAGUUCGGAUUGUAGGCUGCAACCCGCCUACAUGAAGUCGGAAUUGCUAGUAAUCGCAGAUCAGCAUGCUGCGGUGAAUACGUUCCCGGGCCUUGUACACACCGCCCGUCACGCCAUGGGAGUCGGUAACACCCGAAGCCUGUAGUCUAACCGCAAGGAGGACGCAGUCGAAGGUGGGAUUGAUGACUGGGGUGAAGUCGUAACAAGGUA